rnacentral:tRNA from 1 species
GCCUUUUUAGCUCAGUCGGUAGAGCAACGGACUGUUAAUCCGUGGGUCACAGGUUCGAGCCCUGUAAAAGGCGCCA